GCCCGCCUAGCUCAAUCGGAUAGAGCGUCAGACUCUUAUAGCGGGUGCACGGUCGCACCAUGGACGACGACAAUCUGAAGGCUGCGAGUUCGACCCUCGCGGUGGGCU